GUAUAGGUUUAAUGACUGCUUGCGCAAUCUUUAAAAGACAUUCUGUAACUUGAAUAGUGUAUAUGAAAACAUAGCACCUUGAGGAAAGCUGAAAGCAAGCAGGGGAAUGAGGCUUGACGCGCUCAAAGUCCCCCAGACCGCAUCGCUGCGAGAGGUUCACUUUCAGAUUCUCCAAGGACUACAAGAGGUGCACAAGAGAAGAUAAAUAGUAUGGAACGAGCACAUGCUCAGUGAAGAGCCAGCAUCAGAACCAACGUAUUCAAUAAUGAUCCUUCCGCAGGUUCACCUACGGAAA
rnacentral:misc_RNA from 1 species